rnacentral:rRNA from 1 species
ACAACGAAGAGUUUGAUCCUGGCUCAGGAUGAACGCUAGCGACAGGCUUAACACAUGCAAGUCGAGGGGCAGCGGGGAAGUGCUUGCACUUCCGCCGGCGACCGGCGCACGGGUGAGUAACACGUAUGGAACCUGCCCGCAGCAGGGGGAUAAGCGGAAGAAAUUCCGUCUAAUACCGCGUAACAACCUUGAGGGGCAUCCCUUUGGGUUUAAAGAUUUAUCGGCUGCGGAUGGCCAUGCGGCGCAUUAGCUAGUUGGCGGGGCAACGGCCCACCAAGGCGACGAUGCGUAGGGGUUCUGAGAGGAAGGUCCCCCACACUGGUACUGAGACACGGACCAGACUCCUACGGGAGGCAGCAGUGAGGAAUAUUGGUCAAUGGCCGGGAGGCUGAACCAGCCAAGUCGCGUGAGGGAAGACGGUCCUACGGAUUGUAAACCUCUUUUGUCGGGGAGCAAAGGCGGCUACGCGUAGCCGGAUGAGAGUACCCGAAGAAAAAGCAUCGGCUAACUCCGUGCCAGCAGCCGCGGUAAUACGGAGGAUGCGAGCGUUAUC